GUUUUGGUUUUGUUUUCACCUUAAGGUGCCACCAUUAACAGUCACGUUAAAAACUUACUGUAUGCACAUAUUUCUUCACUCUUCAGUCUUCUUACAAACACAGAAGCUGCACGUAACCAGGUGAGAAGUUACAUUUAUGUAUGAGAAUUUAAAUAUCGGUGUAAAUAAUGUUUUUAAGCUUUCAUAGGAUCGGUUUUCGGAUCUCGCUCACUCUGUACAAAUUGUCUUACCGUGCCGAAAUGAAUUUUCACAUCUCCUGUGAGCCAUGACAUCAGAGCAGCUCCUCAAGCUGCUUUAUUAUGACACACACAGACAGAUCAACAGCAGCAUUAGACAGAGCCGGAUAAAGAUCACCUACAAAAUGAAAACAACUCAUCGUUAAUACCAUCUGUGAUUUAAACUUAAGUGAACAGACUCAAAACAUUCUGCAAAGAGUGCCCUUGUGUCAAACAAUAACGCGUCUCUCCUCAACCUACUGCGGGUGAUGGGUGGUUGGAAGUGGCUUUCUCUUCCCCUUCCCCCAAAGAGUAAUGAACAACAACAAGCGGGCCUCCCCUUUCUUUACAGGCACAAAAGAUCAGUCUGGGCACCGAAGAGAGCAUAUGCCACUGAAAUCAGCCGGAUUUAAUUGGUAAACAACACGCGAGUCCCCUAUAUCACCAUAAUAUACAUUUUUCAACAUGCAUUGCAUGUGGUUUUUCUCCCAAAUAUUUGUAAAAGUUAUUUUACAGACUAUUUGUCAACUAAAAGCAAUUAGCACUUGGGAUUUUGUAAUGGUUUAAUAUUAUAUUUAUAGCUUUUAUAUAUUUAAUUUAGAACACGAAGAUGCCUGAAUGUUAUAGUUUUGUAGUAUAAUUUUGUAGUAUAAAGUUGUUACAGUGGCAUCAAAUGCUGAUAUGAUGUAUAUGAAUGAAACGAUAUUUUCCUGCUGCUUUGACACAAUCUGCAUUGUUUAAAGAGCCGUAGAAAUAAAAGCGACUUGACUUCAUUAUCAUUACCUAAAACAUUUUCAUAUAUACAAAAUAAAGCAUUAACUGAAAUCAAUUCAAACAUACAAAUAUGUACUUUAGUGUUUAAAGUUUAAUGUGGUUAAAUGGAGAAAUACAUUUUUAACCACAAAAUAAGCUUAUUUCAAAUUUGAUGCAUGCUGCCGCUCUGAAAAAUUGCCACAGGGGCAACAAAGGUCUUAAAAAGCAAGAAAUUUUAAAGAGAUUCAGCUUGGAGAACAUCUAGCAACUAAUUAAGUUCAUUGACUUCAGGUCUGUAACACAAUUAAGAAAGACGGACUGAGGCUCUCCAAUCUGUGAAAGAGUGCAUGAAAAUAUUGUAGAAUGCUCUUGUUGGAUGCCCGUGAUCUUCGUGCCUUAGAUAGCGCCCCAUCACUCAUCGGCAUGAUUCUGUCAAUGACAUUACUAAUUUGGGUCCAGGAAUAUUUCCAGAAACCACUGUCGGUAAACACAAUCUGCCGUGCCAUUUGCAAAUACCAACUAAAUCGCUAUCAUGCAAAAAGAAAGCCAUAUGUGAAGAUUCAGAACUUUGACAAUACACCAAUCGGUCGAUCACUUUCAUUUAUAUAGCGCUUUUAACAAUACAGAUUGAGUCAAAGAACUGAACGGUAUCAAAUAGGAGAAUAGAGUGAUAGUGAUGUAUAACGACAAGAUUAAGCACUUAUUUUUUUAUUAAAUUCAGAGACGGCCUGUGUAAUCAAAUUGGUGAUAAUCACUAGAAAUUAAGUGUUUGCAAUUAAGUAAGCCAGAGGAAACAGCGGCUAGGAGCUAAAACCCCAUCCGUGAUUGAAUCGAGAAAAAAAAUCCGCAUCUAUGGAUGGACUUUUCAAAAACUGAAAAUUUCAAAUCAUCAAAUUGAAAAACGAGCUCAUUUUGUGCAUAAAAUAUCUCAGUUUAAACAUUUGUUGUGUUAUCGAUGUUCUACUGUGAAUAAAAUAGUGGCUCAUGUGACAUGAAAUUCUUUUAGUUUUCAAAAAAAAAAAAGAUUAUCAGAAUUCAGGUUGUAUAUCAGAAGUUGUAUUAACUGAAAAUUCAUUAUAAUUAAAAUAUGAAAAAUGA